rnacentral:rRNA from 1 species
AUUGAACGCUGGCGGCAGGCCUAACACAUGCAAGUCGAGCGAGCGGCGGACGGGUGAGUAAUGUCUGGGAAACUGCCUGAUGGAGGGGGAUAACUACUGGAAACGGUAGCUAAUACCGCAUACCAUCAGAUGUGCCCAGAUGGGAUUAGCUAGUAGGUGGGGUAAUGGCUCACCUAGGCGACGAUCCCUAGCUGGUCUGAGAGGAUGACCAGCCAAACUGGAACGGAGACACGGACCAGACUCCGACGGGAGGCAGCAGGGGGGAAUAUGGCACAAUGGGCGCAAGCCUGAUGCAGCAAGGCCGCGUGUGUGAAGAAGGCCUUCGGGUUGUAAAGCACUUUCGGCGAGGAGGCGUUACUCGCAGAAGAAGCACCGGCUAACUCCGGGCCAGCCGCCGCGGUAAUUC